rnacentral:misc_RNA from 1 species
AAGUCGUAACAAGGUUUCCGUAGGUGAACCUGCGGAAGGAUCAUUACUGAAAGAUCAUGGAGUUUUGAGACUGCGUCUACCAAGCGUGUGCUCAGCUUCUUACUUCUUUAUCCACACACCUUUGUGCACUAUAUGGGGACCGUAAAACAAAAGGGUCCCCCUUUUCACAUAAAACCAGGUUAAUAAUGCAUGGCUUUAUAAAAAUGCUCUAUGGAGUUUUUUUUUUUAAAUAAAAAAACUUUCAACAACGGAUCUCUUGGCUUUC